rnacentral:rRNA from 1 species
UACGGAGGAUGCAAGCGUUGUCCGGAAUCAUUGGGCGUAAAGGGUCCUGAGGUGGUUUGCUCAGUCCACUGUGAAAGUUCAGGGCUUACCCUUGAAAAUGCGGUGGAAACUAGUAGGCUAGAGUACGGUGGGGCAGAGGGAAUUCCCGAUGUAGCGGUGAAAUGCAUAGAUAUCGGGAAGAACACCGAUGGCGAAGGCACUCUGCUGGGCCGACACUGACACUGAAAGACGAAAGCCAGGGAGCGAAUGGG